AAAAAGAACCUGAAACCGUGUACGUACAAGCAGUGGGAGCACAGGUUUACCUGUGUGACUGCGUACCUUUUGUAUAAUGGGUCAGCGACUUAUAUUCUGUAGCAAGGUUAACCGAAUAGGGGAGCCGUAGGGAAACCGAGUCUUAACCGGGCGUUAAGUUGCAGGGUAUAGACCCGAAACCCGGUGAUCUAGCCAUGGGCAGGUUGAAGGUUGGGUAACACUAACUGGAGGACCGAACCGACUAAUGUUGAAAAAUUAGCGGAUGACCUGUGGCU
rnacentral:rRNA from 4 species